AGCAGAACUAAAAGAUCUGGGUAAUUCUCAGCCUACGCAAAUUGCCAAAAAUGAGAAAGCAUGUUCAGAAAAGAACACUAAAGGAGUGGCCAAGCAUCUAUUUGAUAAGAGAUGAGUACGUAUGGGGACAAUGGACUUCAUCAGCCACUCUAGCAGGAAACUUGGUUUCAACUAAAGAAGGAGGAGACAGGAGUACAUGAAGGAUUUCUUGGAUUUCACAGGACAAGUUCAUAGAGCUAUCUGCCUCAGAACUUGCCCUAUUCCUCAAAACAAUGAAAGAAUGACUCUGAAGGCAAUUCAGAGACCACCAGGGCUGCCUCCUUGGUUUCAAAACAGGGAAACUAUUGCUUUGCUGUCAAUAAGCCUUGGGGGCAGGGCCACCUUACAGAGCGCUGGGGGCGCAGAGCUCCCAGGACUGGACAGCCACUCCAGUGAGUCUGGAAGGCACAGCAUUGAGCCCAAGAUGAGACUAACAAUCUAAUGUAGUUUGCCUUGGAGGAUACAAUGAGAAGCCGGCUGUCUGCAACCCUGAAGAGGGUGGACCGUCCUGAUCUUGGAUUGCCAGUUUUCAGAACUGUGAGAAAUAGGUUUCUGUUGUUUAUAACCCUCCCAGUCUAUAGCACUUGUUAUAGGAGCCUGAACUAAAAUGGGGGUAACCAUGCCAAACUUCUUAUUUAGGAAAGACCAUAGUAUUUUGGUUACUGAGCCCUCUUCUCUUCCCCAUACCCCACCAACUCUGAUAUAAUUCAUGGAAGUACUAGGUAACUCCUGAAUCCUGUCUUUAGCAGCAGUCUCACAAUUUGGAAGGUGGGGUUCUGGUGCCUAAAGGCUUCGCUGUGGGCAGAGAUGUAAUUGAGUUUUUUAUGCAACAAGAUUUCAGAUUCCCGGAUUCUCAGUCAAUUGCAUGCCCCAGGCAAUACCUUUCUCAACAAAGCUGUGUUACCUUUUCUUUCUGCUUCCAAACUAGUGUACUUCAAUGUGCGUUGACUAUAGAAAUUUUUUUGACAAAAUUGUUUACUGCAAGUGUCAGGGAGUAGCCAGCACACAGCCACAUUCUGAUUUUUUUCCCAACUUAUUUACCUAAAGCUAUAGUCUUGGCUGGCACUUGAUACACCUUCCAGAGUACAGUAGGCAAGACUCUGACCAAAUACUUUGCCAUUUCUUAACAAGAGAAACCAGGUUUCCGAACUCCAAUAUCUAGAUCCUUGCCCCCUCUGUUAAGUCAGUGCUACCUUUAGGUAGUAUAAUUGGUUGCAUUCUAACUCCUAGCUAUCAAAUUUUAAAUAAAUAUAAGCAAAUGUUCUCAUGUAAUAAAAGCAAUAAAUACAUAUAUGGCAAAUUUUCAUUUUUGUUAGUUAUCAAACAUAUUUCUUAAAACCAUGAAAUAUUAUCUUUUAAAUUAGAAACAUCUUAAAAAUUCGGUAAUAAGUAUAAAGCCUGUACUGUUCUACACCCAUAGGGGCAAAACCAUGCUUUAGCUUUACUGGGCAAUAUAGAUCAGGACUGAUAUUUAAUAUAUUUUGAUAUGAUGAUAAUGUGCAUGAAAACCAUUUUAAGAGAUAAUACACAAAAUAAAAAUGACGUACAUGAUUUGUGUUCUAUGUAGGAAGCAACUGGAAUGUUAAAAUGAAGAAAAAUGGAUGAGAAAAUUAUGACACAUCUAUUCAAUGGGCUAUUAUGUAACAAAAUAAUUAGGAAGACUAUGUUACAACAUGAAGCUCAGUAUACGAUGUUCAAUAUAAAAUGUCAAAACAUAAAAUUACAUGUGCACAAUGAUUGCAAACAAGUGAAGUAAUGUAUGAAAAAUUCUUAGAUGGGAUUAUAACUAAAUAAUUGUAGUUGUUCCAUGGGUGGUGAGAUCAUGUCAUUCUCUAAUUUCCAACUUUUGCGUCCAGGAAAACUAUCUCAAGAUUUAUGGUCAAUGAACUGACAUGACUUACCUUUAAAACAUAAUAAAAUGAAUCUAUGUUAUUAAAUAGAUUAAGUUGGGCACAUUAUUGCAAUUUCGUGGGUUAAGUUGCAGAACAGCUGUCUUUAUCCCUUUAUCCUUUAAUUAUUUUCUAUGAUUUAUUUACUUAAACUCUUAUGCAAAAUGCCAAUAAUUCAUUUCUUAAAUUAAAGAGAGGUUUAUCAAAUUAAUCCUUAGAAAAUCUCCUUUGAAAGCGUCCAGAAUGCAGUUUAAAAUUAUGUUUCUUUAAAGAUACACACAGAUGAUCCACAAUAUUUCUAUAACUUCUUAUAAGAUGAUUUUCCCAUUUUCUGUCCUUAACUUUAUUUUUCUUACGCUGGACCGCUUUCAUUUCCUUAAUUAUGCCAAAUCACAUCUGGAGUAUUUAGAACACCUUUUUUUAGCAUGUUCACAAAAUGGCUGUUUUAUAGGUAAGGGGAGAGAACGUCAAUAUAAGUUUUAUAGGUAGAUGAUCAAAAGUAGAGUGUGUUUUCUAAAAAGGCAUGUUUGAAACCCACAUAUUAGUAAAUUCUCCUGGUGUGAGAUGUUGCCACCUGAAUUAGGUCCACAAUCUUAUUUCUUUUUUCCUUUGGACCCUCUGGUAUCCCCUACGUGAGUCUAUUCUUCUCUGUCUUCGUGCCUUAAUAAAAAUAAUUUAUUUUUAAAAUGUU